rnacentral:rRNA from 1 species
AACGAACGCUGGCGGCAGGCUUAACACAUGCAAGUCGAACGGGUGUAGUAAUACAUCAGUGGCAGACGGGUGAGUAACACGUGGGAACCUUCCUAGGGGUACGGAACAACUCAGGGAAACUUGAGCUAAUACCGUAUACGUCCGUGAGGAGAAAGAUUUAUCGCCCUUAGACGGGCCCGCGUCGGAUUAGCUAGUUGGUGGGGUAACGGCCUACCAAGGCGACGAUCCGUAGCUGAUCUUAGAGGAUGAUCAGCCACACUGGGACGGAGACACGGCCCAGACUCCUACGGGAGGCAGCAGUGGGGAAUCUUGGACAAUGGGCGCAAGCCUGAUCCAGCCAUGCCGCGUGAGUGAAGAAGGUCUUCGGAUUGUAAAGCUCUUUUGCCAGGGACGAAGCGCAAGUGACGGUAGGUGCAGAAGAAGGACCGGCCAACUACGUGCCAGCCGCCGCUGUAA